rfam:Oryza sativa Japonica Group DNA, chromosome 3, cultivar: Nipponbare, complete sequence.
AAUAAGUGUAGCCAUGGAUAUCCGUACCCAAUAUUUGACCGUCCGUUUUAUUUGAAAAAUUUAUGAAAAAAUUGAAAAUAUUUAGUCACACGUAAAGUACUAUUCAUGUUUUAUCAUCUAAUAGCAAUAAAAUUACUAAUCAUAAAAAUUUUCAAAUAAGACGAACGGUCAAACGUUGAACGUGAAUAAUGCAAAACUGCAUUUAUU